rnacentral:rRNA from 1 species
GGUAACAGGAAACAGCUUGCUGUUUCGCUGACGAGUGGCGGACGGGUGAGUAAUGUCUGGGAAACUGCCUGAUGGAGGGGGAUAACUACUGGAAACGGUAGCUAAUACCGCAUAACGUCGCAAGACCAAAGAGGGGGACCUUCGGGCCUCUUGCCAUCAGAUGUGCCCAGAUGGGAUUAGCUAGUAGGUGGGGUAACGGCUCACCUAGGCGACGAUCCCUAGCUGGUCUGAGAGGAUGACCAGCCACACUGGAACUGAGACACGGUCCAGACUCCUACGGGAGGCAGCAGUGGGGAAUAUUGCACAAUGGGCGCAAGCCUGAUGCAGCCAUACCGCGUGUAUGAAGAAGGCCUUCGGGUUGUAAAGUACUUUCAGCGGGGAGGAAGGGAGUAAAGUUAAUACCUUUGCUCAUUGACGUUACCCGCAGAAGAAGCACCGGCUAACUCCGUGCCAGCAGCCGCGGUAAUACGGAGGGUGCAAGCGUUAAUCGGAAUUACUGGGCGUAAAGCGCACGCAGGCGGUUUGUUAAGUCAGAUGUGAAAUCCCCGGGCUCAACCUGGGAACUGCAUCUGAUACUGGCAAGCUUGAGUCUCGUAGAGGGGGGUAGAAUUCCAGGUGUAGCGGUGAAAUGCGUAGAGAUCUGGAGGA